UAUAACUAAUAUACCUACUACUGUAUACAGGUCUACUAAUAUACCUACUACUGUACACAGGUCUACUAAUAUACCUACUACUGUACACAGGUCAGCUAAUAUACCUACUACUGUACAUACCAGUAUAACUAAUAUACCUACUACUGUAUACAGGUCUACUAACAUACCUACUACUGUACACAGGUCUACUAAUAUACCUACUACUGUACACACCAGUAUAACUAAUAUACCUACUACUGUACAUACCAGUAUAACUAAUAUACCUACUACUGUAUACAGGUCUGCUAAUAUACCUACAACUGUACAUACCAGUAUAACUAAUAUACCUACUACUGUACACAGGUCUACUAAUAUACCUACUACUGUACACAGGUCUACUAAUAUACCUACUACUGUACACAGGUCUGCUAAUAUACCUACUACUGUACACAGAUCUACUGAUAUACCUACUGCUGUACAUACCAGUAUAACUAAUAUACCUACUACUGUACACAGGUCUACUAAUAUACCUACUACUGUACACAGGUCUACUAAUAUACCUACUACUGUACACAGGUCUGCUAAUAUACC
rnacentral:lncRNA from 1 species